rnacentral:sRNA from 1 species
GGGCUCGGCGGGGGAGCGACUCAUGGAGCUGCCGUAAGUUUUACCAACAGACUGCAGUUUCUUCACUACCAAAAUGACAUCAUUUUCCACCUCUGCCCAGUGUUCAACAUCUGACAGUGCUUGCAGGAUCUCUCCUGGACAAAUCAAUCAGGUACGACCAAAACUGCCACUUUUGAAGAUUUUGCAUGCAGCAGGUGCGCAAGGUGAAAUGUUCACUGUUAAAGAGCAAAGUGCAGAGGAAAGUUCCACUUCCAGAAAAAGAACUACAGAAGACAAUAUCCCCACACUGCCUACCUCAGAGCAUAAAUGCAUACAUUCUAGAGAAGAUGAAGACUUAAUUGAAAAUUUAGCCCAAGAUGAAACAUCUAGGCUGGACCUUGGAUUUGAGGAGUGGGAUGUAGCUGGCCUGCCUUGGUGGUUUUUAGGAAACUUGAGAAGCAACUAUACACCUAGAAGUAAUGGCUCAACUGAUUUACAGACAAAUCAGGAUGUGGGUACUGCCAUUGUUUCAGAUACUACAGAUGACUUGUGGUUUUUGAAUGAGUCAGUAUC